CAGAGAGAUGGUUAGUUGCAAUAUAUUCUAUGCUAUGCCCUUAAAAAAAAAAAAAGUCUUGUGUUUUCUUUCUUUCAUUAGAAACAGUCCAGUCAGAAAAUUUAGUUUGUCUUUCCCACUUACAUUACAAAUCUAAGUAUAAAAAAGUGGCACAAGGGUGUUUAGAUUCACUUUUGUAAAUGUUUCUCACUGAAACAAAAUAAAUUAUUUAAGAUUUUUGGAUUACCUGAUUUUAACUUUUCUGCUAAUUUUAAUAUUCUGUUGAUUAGUUUUGGGAGGAAAAAAAACAUAAAUGAAGUCAAUGAUACUUCUGGCAGAGUUAAGUUAUCAAAACACGCUAGAGACAACAAAAUGAUAACUCCCUCUACUCUAAGUAGUGUUCCUAGAAUAGAGAUCUUACAAACUUUUCUUUUUUUUUUUUUAAAGGAUGCGAUCACCUAGAGAAACAAAUUUUAAUUCCUUGUCAUGUAGGAGAGCUCCUUAACGUAACUGAAUGCUUGACAAAUAAGUGUUGUCCUUCAGAAACCAGCCAUGAUCUGAAAUGUUAUCUGCCACUUGUGGACAGGAUGCAAGUGAUGUUUCGAGUGCUUGUGUUUGUGGCAGGAGGACUUUUUAUGUUGGUGUGUCUACCAUUGUGUUGCUGCACCUGUUUGCAUAAAAGUCAUUGUGUCAAUCCUUUACGAAGACCAAACAAGAAACUAUUGAAAAUUGCGUUGAAGAAAAAAGCACAUAGAGAUGAGGCUUACAGCCCUUUAUUGGACGGAUUUAAGGAAGACUCCAAGGAGCAUAACAAAAAAAAAAAAAGAGGAACAUCCAGCUGAUCUCGAAGACCUCAAGCAGAUGGACACCAGGAUUACUUGAAUAUGCCCUAGAAAAUGAGAUGCUUAGUUUUAGUAUCAAAGUAAUACAAUGUUGUCUACCCUUGAUAAUGCUAUUGAUUUUGCAAUAAAAGGUCU
rnacentral:lncRNA from 1 species